rnacentral:lncRNA from 1 species
UUAAUGCAGUUUCCACUGGCUGUUUCCACACUGGAGUUUUCAUGCCAGGUUCUCUGCUUCCUCUGGGAGAUAACAGGCAGUGUGGGAGAAAUGGCUGUGGCUCUGGAUUCAAAUCGCAGCCCUGACACCUACUAAAUGUAUCUUCUUGGGCAAGUCACCUAGCCUCUUGGAGCCCUGGUUUUCUCAUUUGUGACAAGGCAUCCCUGGUGGCAUUGUUGUGUCAAUUAAAGCAGAGUGUUUACAUUGUACCAGGCCCACACUGAGGGUUCAGCAAGUCUUAGGUUUUGUUUCCCCUGCCUGGUUCUUAGCCUCACUGAAAAAGGAAAAAGAGAGGCUUAUCCUCACAGAGAUUGAAGGAGAGUGGGUGCUGGGCGACCAAGAGCUAGGGACCCAGGAGAGAGAAAAAUGCACACCCAAGAGAUGGCAAAGGGGCCCCUUCUGAUGACGAGCUAGGGGCUCUACUAUCCUACUGGGGUCUGGCCCACCCUCGUUACUAUGGGUUUCUGGUUGCAGGAGACCUUAGAGGGGCUGAUCCUGCCCCCAUCUUCCCCACCCACACACCAAGGAAGGCUGGUUGUGGAUAACUGAAAUCCCAGAGUCUGCUUCUGCCAUGCUCUUGAGGCUGAGGAAUGGGCUCAGACAGGUGGGAUCCCUGUUACUACAUCAGCACUAAGACAAAGGGACAAGCUCUGGACCAAGAAUUAGGAGGCUGGCUCAGGGCUAGUUAUUUUUCUGGGUCUUGGAUUCCCCAUCUGGGAAACAUGGAACCAACAGUAUCUAUCUGCUUGGACUACCAUGCAAGUCUGCACAUGAUCUAACUCCAAAGGAGUUGGUCACCCAGAUGUUCCUUUUGGGGCUCCUGGGGGCUUCCGGUGCGCUCUUGCACUCGCGCGCUCUCUCUCUCUGUCUCUCUCCCUGAGGUGAAGACAUAAGAGGCAGCAGAUGGCCAGGACCUUUGCUGUGGUCCCAGGAGCCCUCACUGGGUAAAUAACACUGACUCCCAGUAAGCCUGGAAAUUUCCAUUCUUUAGGGAGAACAUUAGUGAGCAUAGUGCCAGCCACUAUUUUAGUCACUUUUAACCCAGGCUGCCUGGCUCCAAAGACCACACUCUCUUGCCCACUACAUGGUAUUGCCUCUUGUGAAGCACACACAUAAUAUUCAGUAUGUGGCUCUGGAGUGGGACUGUGUAUCAGUUAGCUAUUGCUGUAUAACAAGUAAGUCUAAAAACUAAGUGGUUUAUUUUUCACAAUUCUAUAGGUUGUCUGGGCAGUGCCUCUGCUGCUUUCUGCUGGGCUCAUUCGCUCAGCUGCAUUCAGCAGGAGGGUGGGCUGGAAGGGCUGCUGGACUGGGGAAUCCACCGUGGCUUGAUGCACAUGUUUGAUGCUGGAGUGCCUCAGUUCUCCUCCAAGUGUCCUCUCACCCUCCAAUAAGAUAGACAAGCAGCCUUGGGGCAGCAUCCCAAGGGCAAGAGCAGAAGCUGUCAGGCCUUUGGGGCCCAGGCUGCUGAACUUGCUGGUACCUUUCCAUCACAUCCUGUUAGUCAUGGUGAGUCCAGAUUGACUGGACGAGGGAAACAGAUCCCACCUCUUGAUGGAAGGAACCUCAAAGACAUUGUGGACAUAUUUAAUUUGCCACAAGAUGCCUGGGUUUAACUCUCAGUUUGGACACUUGCUAGUUGUAAACUUGAGCUUUUCACUUAACCUGUCUGAACCUCAAUCUCCUUCUCUGCAAAAUGGGGACAAUCCUAAUCCCCCUUGUCAAGUUUUAUGACGACUAAGUGAGAAAAGGGCAUGAAGUGCUUUGCCCAGUACCUGAGACAUAAGCGCCCAUUGUGAUUAUAUUAAUAGACCCUGCUCUUACUCGUCCAUGACCUCAGGGCAGAAAAGGACUUUGAGGAAUUCAGAGAGGCCUGGUGCCCUGGCCAGCUGACAGCAGAGCCUGACAAUUAGCUAGGUCUCCCGACUCCCCGUCCAGUGUUCUUUCUGCCACACAAGCUGCCACUCUUAGACUGAGCACAAAAGACAAAUCUUCCAGUCUGGGGAUGGCAGAUCGAUUUUCUCACCCUUGCUGGCUGUGAUUGAUUGGUGGUGCUGCCCUGAGUUCUGCAGUGAGAAAAGCUGUGAGGUCUGGCCCCAGCUCAGUGGGAAGGAGGGCCAGGAUCGAUCGGUGAUGUUUGCCCUGGGUGCAGUCGCGGGGCGGGGGCACACACGCAGUUUGCUUGCCAUUCCUGCUCUGGUCUUAGCUCUGACCUCACCCCUGUGGCUGUACUAGGUGCUGGGUGAACAACGUGCUCCAGGCCUUUCAUGUCACAGAAGAGGACGCAAGGUCCGGACUGGUCAGGAGAUUGGCCUCAUGGUCACACAGCAGGAUGUUUCCUGGUCAGUGACUUUCCCAUGUUUCCAUUCUUCCCAGAUCCCUGGGGAGUCUGGACAAGUGUGUGUCUGGCUCCUGUGGCCUGAGUUUCCAAUUCCCAACUAAGAAAGGUAGAGAUUCCAGGGCUUUCUGCUCUGGCUCAGGCCUCAGGCAGGGGGUCCUUAAAGCACCAGCAUGGGGAAAAAGGCUUCUCGGCUCUUUGUUUGGAUUCAGACAGGGCAUUUUCAAGUUUCUUGAGAUCACAGUGGAGGCCAGCCAAUUCUAUUUUCACUCGAGGCUCAAUCAUCUCUUUCCCUGGUCUUC